rnacentral:lncRNA from 1 species
GAGUGGGAGUUGAGUGGUGUAGUCAAGCUCGGGUCUCUGGAGCUGUCUUCUAGAGAGUCUGGUAUAGCUCUUGUAUUACAUUCUUUAUAUUAAUGUAGUCUUUCUUUACUUUGCUAAGUAUUUACUUCAAGUCUUUACUUUCAGUAUUGCUUAGUGCAUUACUAUAUUUGUAGUAGUGUUGUGUUUUAGUCUUAUUAGUGUAGUUGCC